rnacentral:sRNA from 2 species
UUUUCAUUGUAGCCGAGAUUCAUGAAUUUCAUGAAUGCGGGGGACCCGGAUAUUUGGGGCGAAUUCCGGCUAAGGAUAGGGUACUUCCAGGCCCGAGCCCGUCAGCUAACCUCGUAGGCGUAUGGAAGGGCAUUU